GUUUUAGAUACUUACUAUUUUAUAAAAAAUGUGAGUUGCAAAACCCAUGUUAUAAAAUAUGAAUUGUUAAUGAUUUCAUCAAUUUAAAGUAUUCAUUAAUGAUAAUAUUCAUAAAUAUUUAGUAUAUUCAACAAAUAUAAUUUCUAUAUUUAACGUAGAAGAAAAGUAGAGACUGAGUUUGUUCCAGAUGAAUGUAACAUAAAGAACUCUUGUGUUCUCACUUAAAAUAAUGCAUGCACAUUCGAUAGAAAACGCUUCUAUGCAGAAUUCUUUCUAUACUGUCAUAUCGCAUCCAUUUACACGAUCAAUCUGUAUUCAUUUAAAAACAAUUAAUAGCAUUUAUAGAAAGCCUAAAACAAAUAUUGAAUUUUACAUUUUUUUAAUGAAGAUUAUAUAAAAAUUUCUUUUUAAACUGAAAGCUAUUUAAUUCUUGAUACAUUCUGAUAAAUUAAUUGAAUAAAAUUAUGGAUGAUACCUUUCAAUUUUAUAUGUAUCUUUUGGACAACCAGCUAAGGAUUUCAAAAGAUAUGUACGUUCAUUUUGUUUUCUUUCUGGACUAUUCUGAGGGAAAUUUAUAACACGUUGAAGUCCAAAUUCCCAUUCUUCUUCAGAACCCCACUUAAAUACUGGGCAAAUAAAUUCAUUGGCAACUCUGAAGUAAGAAACAGUAACAACAGUUAAUACAAUUUAAUCUCUACAAAAUGUAAUAUAACCAGUUAGCAAAAUUGUAAGUACUAAAUGAUAUGUAAGAGAGAAUAACAUUUAUAUACUGCAAUUGAUGUAAUAUUAGUAUUAGUAUUAUUUUAUAUACUGAAAUUUUGAUUCUCACACAUGCAUUAAAUUUUCUCAUUAAAUUAAAAUUUUUAUGUAAGUAACUUGCAGAGGUUUAUAAGUUUCUGCUUUGAUGCUAUUAGUAACAAUACAUUUCCACGUGUAUUACUGUAUAUUUAUAAUGGAAAUAAUUAUAAGCCUUAUAAAUAUAAAGGUAAGGGUGACAAAGUUACGGACGGAUUUCCUUUAUCCGGUUCCUUAUCAGUCAGCCACUUUUUGUACUGAUCCCUUGCUUCGUUAACGCAUGGUUCGUAUCCAGCACGACAAAGGAAAUUUUUCGCCAUUCCACGCAUAUGAGUUUUCCAAGACGGUUCAUUUGGUUCUACAGUUCUAGUGAGUUCUUCAUAUAAAGGUUUUAGCAAGGUACGUAUGUAUGCCUGAAAUAAUAAUAAUUUUACUACCUCAUAAGCUUUAUGAAUAUUUUAUGUUUAAAUUUUGUUUUGUGUAGGAAACAUAAAGAUGCAAUAAGGAAGAAUAAAUUUUAGCAAAUAAUAUUUGCGCAUUCUUUGAUCAAAAAGUAAAAAAUAAAGUAAUAUUGAAGAUUACUUAAUAUUGAAGAUUAAAUUUCGACUGCAAACUUAUGAUUUCUAAGAAAUAAAUACAUUUAUAAAAUUGUAAAUUUAUAAAAUCAAAGUCUUUUGAAUUGUAAAUUCAAUUUUACAUGAUAUGUGAUUAUAAUAGAAGAGAUUAUGAAAAUAAGUAUUUGUAUAUAAUAUAUAAUCGUGUUCUUAUUUUAAUAUACGUCAGUAUUAAUUUUCCAAAAGUAUUCCUGCAUAUUUUAAGUAAUGGUAAAACCAAAAAGUUUGAAACCAGUCAUUUUAGUAUAUCGGGUAUAGUAGUUGUGCCUAAAUAGCCGGAACUUUAUGUAGGAUAAAUUAAUGAAUAUUUUUCAUUUUUCACUUUUAACAAAUUAUAUAAAAUUAAUAUAGAAAUAUAUACAAUUAAAUAUACUUAAAAGAACAUAAACAAAUUAUCUAUAUUUCAGUUAAAUAACAAAAGUACCUCUGAAAUAUAUAUUUUAAAGAAUGAACGUAAACAAAAAAUAUUUACCUCAAAUUUGGAGUGUACAUGAGAUCCCUCGAUACGUCUACCAACGUGAUCGAUCAUCAUAAAGACUGGUUCCCAUACGACGUGACUCCUU